UCCGCUGCCACCUCACUGCAUGCAUCCCUGUGGCCUGCACCCACCUAGUGGGCAGGAAGCUGAGCUGAGUGUGCAGCUGACUCUCAGGAGGAGCCUCUGACAUUUUGGGAGAUUGAGCAGGUGGGACUGGAUGCUCCAUGGGCCCUUGCACCUCACAGUGGGAGGCUUUCUCAGAACCCGGGGCCCUGGCUGCCCCCUAAAUAGCCAGUUCUGGAAUUAGUAAGGGGCCCCCUGUGGCCAGCAGCUCCUGCCACCACUGCAGGUUCGAGUCAUGGUCAAGGAAUGGGGAGUGGCCACUUUCCUCCUCCGGGCUGGCCUCCAGAUCUCAGAAGGGCAGCUAGACAUCCCAAAUUAGGCCCCACAGUCACCAUGGAGACCAUUUGUUUACUCCCACCUCCACAUGAGCUAAUCUGGAGAACCGCCAUUUUCUGUACUUUCAACGUAAUGGAAUUCAGGAAAAUUCCAAAGCCAGCCAGCCCCAAUUUUCAAAACAGAAUCUAGGCAUCCUGCAUGGAUCUCAGGAUGUGGACAAACUUCUCGAUCUGGCCUCUAAUUUCCUGCUUCCCCUAAGAGAACGAAUGCCUCACCUAUGCUCCGAAGUUUCUGCCUCCCUGUCUUUGCCCAAGCCAUUACUCCACCAGCAGUGCCCACCCUCCCCACUGGUCAAUGAAGUCAGCUUCUUAUCCCACCCCAAGGCCAAGUUCAAGUGUCACCUCCACUGUGAUGGGCUCCCAGAUUGUACCCUCCCUCCCACCUCUUGACCUGUACGAGGAGGUCUCUCCCCCUUCUUAGCCCCUUUACCAUCUACUGUGGCAUUGAUUCCUUUCUACCUGACUCUGUAGUCCUUUCUGUGUUUCCAUCUCCCAUCUAGACAGCAAAUUCUGGGGACCCCUAUCCCAUACCCAGCAGUGGAGUGACGUUCCCAAGAGGAAGGCAGUGGGAGCCUGGAGAGAACUGAACUGAAAGCUAGGUUGCUAGAUGACAAUCACUGGGCAAAGUGAUUUAACUUCUCUGAGCUUCAGUUUCCCCAGCUACUGACCAGGGUGGAGGCCUAGAGGAUUGCAAGGGCACUUUCAGAUCUGCCUAUCUUUUUAUUGCCCUUUGAAAACCUGUCACUUUCCCCAAACUGCUUAAGUUCCUAAGGCAUUUCUCAGAGGAGGUGUGUGGAAAAGCAGCGCAGAAAGGGGUGGGGCGCGAGUGGCAACCGCUUUUCCCCACUUCUAGGAUACCCUGCUCGCAGGAGGCAUCAAAGUGCAGCCUUGCGCUGCCCCCGUGUGGCUCGCUCAGGCACUGCAGCCAGGAAGCCUUAACUUACCUCUCGGAGGGCUCCCCUGGAGGAUGCCCAUCACCCAUCUGGACGGCCCGCUUGACCCCCUGUCUUCUCACUCACCUCUCAAGCUCACCCAAGGACCAAGAGUAACCCCAGUUCAUCCCACCCCCCAUCUCAACGGAGAUGGCCCUCAGGCCAGGCAUGAUGGUGCCACAGUGCCGCAAGGAAGGGGAGGCUGUCGCAGAGCUGGGAGCCCGCCUGACUCCCUGUCCCGUGCUCCCUCUGCUCCAUCUGGUGCCUCCAGAACACUGCUCCUGAUGGGCUGAGCUGAGACCCUUUGGCCCCUUCGGGACUGGUAGUGGUCCAGACACCUCCUCCCCAGCCCCGCCCCACCUUGGUCCUUCCACCGAGGAUGCCUCCCCUCCCCAGCCCUUGCCAACCAACCCACCCCUCAAACACCCUGUCCUGAGCCGACCUAUGCUUUGGCCUCAUGCAGCCCCCUAGGACUGUGCUGCCAGGAGGGCCCCGAGGGAGCCAUUCCCCACUGCAGGGGGGUCUCGGAGGUGGGGGUGUAGGUGAUGGGGAAGGCCUGGGCUUGCAGCUUCUGCCCGGAGACCUGCAGAGCUCCGUUUUCGCCCUUCCUUGUCCUGCCUUCUCCCUUCCUCCCAGCAUCCUCUCUUCCCAGGGCUCCCUUCCCUCUUCCCUGCAAAUGGCCCUACUGGCCCCAGGCCCCACUUCUGUGGCCUUUUCGCCCUAUGCAGACAGGCUCGGCCACACCUGUCCUCUGGCCAAUCCCUUCCUAGAUGUGAGGGGGUGGGGGAGUACAGUGAGUGCAGGGGGCUGCGGGGUUCCCCCCCCACACUUUCUAGGGUUUCUGAUGCUAACAGUACCUGUCCUGCCUUAGUUUAGACACACUGCGGUCUGGGACCUCCAUGUGGCAGCAGGUACUCAUCCUGCCUGACCUCGUCCUGUCCCCUUUGCCUGUGACAAAGGGAGCAGGUACAGGAAAGGUGACGAACAGGGCAUCAAUGCAUCCAGUCUCUUUCAGGGAGCAGAAGACACAGAAAUCUUUCCAUUAGCCAAGAGGAGAGACAGGUCAGGACCCACUUGUGUCACUUCUGCAGGAUGACCUAUGAAAAAAUGCACUGACGGGCUCCUUCUAACUCCACAAAAUGCUGUCAUUGCAUUGCUAGUUGAGAGGACCUCGUUAAGUAGGGGCGGGUCACAAGUAAAACAAAGUAUGACGGGGGCACAUUUCUGGCUUCUAACUUCAAGGGCUCUGGCCUGGCAAUACACAGAAGAUUCAGAAGACUAUGCAAACAUGUUUCCUUCAUCAAUAGUAACUUCCCUUCCAGAUAAGGCAAAGCCAGAUGGCAAGGAGCAGGCCUCCCUGGAGGAGUGGGCUGAGGAAGCCGCGACAGCAGAACUUGAGGAGGGAACUUCAUGAACUAAGCAUGUCAACUUCAAUUGCAUCAGCCAACAAAAGACAGCAGGUCUGUGAAAGAUGACACGGUUUGGUGCAGUCAAAAGAAGCACAGUGAGAGCUUGCCAAACACCCAGGAAGAAGGUACGGGCCUCUUUGUCCUUCACUGUCUGCAGAAUCCUUGCACGUGAAGGAGUUGAACGGGCCUGGUGCCAGCAGCCUAAUUGGAGCGCUCCUGGCUCAGAAUUAGGAAUUUAUAAGCAACUCUGGGCUUACAAGAAUCAAAAGCUCAUUCCUGUCCCAGUAGAAUAUAGCAAGAUCCAGAAACAGUCACGCAAAGAGAGAACAAGAUAAGGAAAAUCUCUGGAGAGUUACAGUUAGGGUGACAAGAAGCGGGGCUGGCAUUAGGGUGACCGAGUUGUCUUGUUUUACCCAGGAUUUUCCUGAUUUCAGCACUGAAAGUCCUGCUUUUUGGACCCCCCUCAUUCCCUGUCCCCCCACUUGGCCUGCUGGGCCAGAAUUGCAGAGCGAGCAGGAAAGUUGGGAGCCAGGGACUCCCAUUGUGCCCCUGCUGGAUCCUUCUCACCUGAACUGUGGGUCAUUUGAUGAGGGGUGAGGUCUCUGCAGACCCCAAGGUUGGGGGCAGCUGUAGUGUCUGCAGGACAAGCCUGGUCCCUGAGAGCACAGGGGAAAGAGCGCCCCCUGCUUGUUGCCUGCAAUUUCCCAUCAGACACCUGGAGGAGAAAUCUGCGCAGCCCCAAGUGUAUUCAGAGGGCCAAGAACUUGGUGGAAAGCUCCUAAUGUAUACAGUUGACCCUUAAACAACAGGACUUAAAGGCAACGACCCUUCACCCUGUUGAAAAUCCGCGAAUCAUUUUUGACUCCCUCAAAACUUAACUACAGUCCCUCAGCACCCACGAGGGAUUGGGUCCAGGAUGCCCCCCAAAUCCCCCGACGCCCGAUCCCUGUAUAUAGAAAAUGGUGUAGAGCGGUGUGUACAGUCGGCUCUCUGCAUCUGCAGACUCCCAACCAGGGAUCGAAAACACUGUUUUCGAUCCGUGGUUGGUUGAAUCCGUGGAUGCCAAACCCGGGGAUACGGGAUACGAAGGGCCCACUGUAUGUUUAUUGAAAAAAAAAUCCUCAUGUAAGUGUCCGCACAGUUCAUUCCUCUGUUGGUCAAGGCUCAGAGUCACUGCAGAACAGCAGGGAAACGGGGCGAGGUCUGUAACCAAGACACCUCCCUCCUGGCAACUGAUGGUGGGGAGCUAGCCCAGCCCACCUUGCCGAGUCAGCUGGUCCCCUGUCCCUGCCACUGUGGCUCUGGUGGUGGGGCGGGCUGAGGGGGUGGUCGCGCAGAAGACCCCUUCCCCUCUGUCCUCCACCCUCCCCCACCCCGCUCCUAGCCUAGGAAUUAGAGGACAUUCAUUCAUAAUUUAAAAAUAGCAUACAAACGAUUUGGCCAUCCAUUCCAGUGGAGUGGAAGCAGCACUCCGACCUCCAGCCUGACUACCCCUCUGUAGAGAACCGGCCUCGGGCUCCUGGGAACACGCGGCCCAGCCUCCUCCAGGGGGCGCUCUUCCCCCUCCCCGAGCGUGGACCCGUGCGAAGGGGAUCCUUCGUCCUGGCCAGCAGUGCGCCAUGGAAUUCAGAACAAAAGGGGAAAUUGUUAUCACCCCCCAGCCCGUGUAUUUUUAUACAUUUCUACUGUUCCUAUUGUGCUUAGCAGUUUUCAGUGUUUUCCUGACAAUUGGAGAGAUUCGUGGGAUUGGCUCAGGAAUCAGGACAGGAUACUUGUAAGAGCCAAGCUUACAGCUUCUGAUUGUGUCCUUCUUAAAUGGUCCCACUGCUUAAAACGAAGUGGCAGAGUCACUGCUCAGCAUAAAUCAAAUUCAUAAUCAUACUUAUGUAACUGCAGUACGUUUUUAAAAGUACACAGAGUCAGGUAGAGCUGGAUUUCCUGGCUUUCCCAGUCUCCCUUCCUAGAAGCCCUCAGGCCAGGAAGGGGAGAGGGAGAAAGAAGGAGUGUGUGUGAGUAUGUGUGUGUGUGUGUGUGUGUGUGUGUCUUGUACCCCGAGGCUCUGGGGCUGAUCCUACAGGGUUCAGGAAGGAUGUUCCCGUUCAUUAGGGUCCCCAAGAGCAGCAGUGGCCAUCUGAGUCUCCGCCCCUUGCAGUGGGGUCCACGUCACCUCUGGGAUGGUUUGGUAGAACAGCAGCAGGUGGCCGAAGGGGGCCAGAGCCGAGAGGCUGGCAGUGUUCAGAUACUGAGAGUCCACAGGGGCCUGGGACUGCUCUAGUGCUGGGGACACAGCCCAGAGCAAGACGAGCUUCUGUCCUCAAGGAGCUGGCGCUGUGUCAAGGGAGGCUGGACAACAGGGAAGCAACUGAGGUCAUUUCAAGGGCUGCUAAGUGCUAUGGAAACAUGGGAGAGCAUGCCCGGACAGGAGGCCAGGGCAGGAAAUGAGCCUGGACAUUUGCAGGUGAAAGAGGCCUGAGUGGCCAGACUGAGGGUGAGACAGGAGAGAGGAGAGGACAUGCCCCGGGCCCACUUUCUAACGUACAGUUUAUGCCUCUAGUUCAGACUUCCCUCCCGAGUUCGCACUCGUGUAUCCAGCCCCCUGUGUGUCCCCUGACCCUCUCUGCGAGGGUGUCUAGUGAACAGCUCAGCUUCACCACCCCCUGAAAACCUGCCUGCACACCACCUUCCUCACUCAGGCACCUCCAUCCUGCCAUGGCUCAGGCCCCCCGCUGGGAGCCAUCCUCAGUUCUGCUCUCCCACUCCACCCCUACUGGCCCAGGAUCCUGUGGUUGCGUCCUUCCGCUAAGUCCAGGCUCGAUGGCCUCCCACCAUCUCCACACUGCUCCCCAAAUGAUGCCUCCACCACCCUCUCGCCAGUAGUCUCUGUCUUCAGCACCCAUCCCAGUCUCUUUACAAGUGGUGACCAGACGGAGUCUUUCAAACGUGAGCUGGGGGCUGUCACCUGACGAGACCCCCCACUGCUCAGAUGGACGCCAAGUCCCUCUUGAGGCCCUAAGGCCCUGCACGGCCGCUCUCAUUCUCUCCGGCCUGGUGUCCUGUCAUCUCCCCUUGCUCCCGCGUCCAAGUCUCACAACCCCCGGCCACUCCUCAAACCCGGGGGCUGUCCCCUGGCUGACCCCCUGACUGGAACACUCGCGUCACCCACUAGUGAGGCUACCCUCAUUCCCCUGCUCUGCUUCUUUUUGUCACCACACUUUCCAUCUUCUAUCCAAUGAUCAUCUAUUUUUUUUUAUUUUGCUAAAAAAGUUUUUAAAAUUUUUAUUAAAUGUAUCGAAGUGACAUUGCUUAGUAAAAUUAUAUAGGUUUCAAGUGUCCAAUUCUAUAAUACAUCAUCUGUAUAUUGUAUUGUGUUCUGGAAUAUCAUUUACUUCUUAAGUUACGCUUCUGGUUUCCCCACCUCCCGCUAGAUAGCUCUACGGCGGCGAGGAGAUCUGCCUCUUUGCUCCCUGGUAUCUCCUCUCGAAAGUUCCCAGAUCAGUGCCUGCGUGUGUUGUGUGCUCAGUACAUGUUGCUGAAUAUAGGGUGAACGUGAGACCUGGUCGGACAUGGGAGGAAAUUGAUUAUUUUCUGGUCACCAGUAUAGUCGGUGGGAGAGUUAGGGCAAAGGUGUACGGCAGCUGAUUUCUGCUUUAGGAAGAAUCCCUUGCCUGCCGUUGGAGGAUGGACUGGGUGGGGGCGGGAGACCCCAAGCAGGCUGGGAUCCUUGUCUCUUGUUCCCUGACGGGUAGUGAGCAGUGCUGUUUAACAGGAUUUCCUGCCGCGAUGGAAAUGUCCUCUGUGCUUCCAGUAGCCACUGUCCACAGGUUUCUACUGAGCAGCUGGAUUUUAAAUUUCAUUUUAUUUUAAUCAAUUGAAACUUAAGCAGCGACAUGUGGCUAGAGGCCCCACAUGUACACUGCAGUUCUGGACCAUGGACCAGGGUGGUUGUAUGUUAGGCACGUCAGUGUCAAAUUCCAAAUGGUCUCUGGCCCCCGAUCCAGGCUUGUAUCACAAGGUCCCAGGUGAAGGACCUGCCAGCAGGUCGGCAAAGGGAUCUGACUUCUGAAAUAGAGCAAUGCUCCUAUGUGCCACGUAGACUUGAAUGGACCUGACAUGCUAGGACAUGGCGGGAGGGCCUGGAGCUCAGCCUUUACCCCUGCCCCUGAACACCGCCCUCCAUGUCCCCAGCUGUGACAAAAACAGGCCACUCACACAUUUUAUACAAUUCAAGCAGUGAUUUCCUUGACAAGUAGAAUACAAAUAAAAAGUUCUGGGUCCAAAUAAGUGGUUAGAAUGGAUGACAAACAUAUGAAAAGCGAUAUUCUGUUAUUGACUUUGUGAAUUGUCACUCCCAGUUUUCCUAAAAGGGGCCUCUGAGAACCCCAUCUGAAGAUGCCGGCUCUGUUUUCAGGUCCCGGAGAGGCCCAGCAGAGGGCAGGCUGGCCCUGGAAAUGGACUGGAGAUGACUCCAAGUGAGAGAGGACCGCUUUGGGGGGAGAUGGGUGGAUGCCUGAUUCUGACUCCCUCCAAAGGCCCAGCUCUUAGCUGGCAACCCCCACCCCAGGAUUCAAUUUGCUCCCCAUCAAUGAGAAAAUCUCUGGGAGUUCUCAGCCAGACCUCUCCUGUUCUAUAGUGCCCUGCCCUAUUCUACCACUGGUCCUGGCUGACCAGUAUCUUAGGGGCUGGGGCUCUGGAUGGAGGUCUUGUGAGAGGGCUGGCCCCCUCCCUCACCCUGCUGCCCUUUUAGGGCCAGCUAGUUUGGUCACUUAACCAGCUCCAAGCCUGCUGAGCACCCUCAGUUCCAGGCUUGGUCCUGCCUAGACAGCCUGGCACAGAGGUUAGGAGCCUGCCUUCUAGACCAGCCUGGGCUCAACUCCUGGCUCUACCGUUUGGGAACAAAGGGAUUUUGGCUCUCCAUACCUUGAUUUUCUCAUCUGUAAAAUGGGACCAAAUGAGCUAGUAUUUGAGAAGUGCUUAGAAGAAUAACUGUUAUAUAAACUGUGGUCAAUAGAUACAUAUGUAUAUAGAUGAUAGAUAACAUUUUCUUAAGCUCUGGAAUAUACUGUUUUUCCACUUGAAACUUUCAGUGACCUCAAUAUACUAAGGUGGGGUGGGGGCAGCCAGACCUGGGCUGACCCACUUGCUAGUCAGAAACUGCUUUGCCUGAGCUUUGUCCACCCGCAGGCAGAGUGGGUGACACUUGGCUUCCUGGAUCUAGGAUGGCUUUUCCGUCGGCACGUAAUGCUGUAUUUUCUUUGUAAGAGGUUUUAAACUGCAAAGCUCUCGUCCCAAUGUGCUAUGGAAGGAAAGGGUAUUGAGUUUUCCUCUUGUUUAUUUUAAAUGCUUAGAGGUUGGGUUUCAGUCCCAGGCUGGUAAAGUAAGGAAACUCUGAAAUUAUAUAUGUGUCUGGAUCAUUCUAGAAGCCCCCAGAGAUAUGCAAGGCAGCUGAGAACUGCUGGGAAUCACAAAGCCUCCUCACUGCCCUCCCAGGGGCCCAGGCAGUGUGUUCUCAGCCAGGUGUGGGCUGGAGAUGGCUAGGGCAUGGAUGGGCCAGAGGCAGCAGUGAUGCCAGGGGCACGCAUGUGUCCUCCAUUUGGGUCGCAGCACAAGAAACUGGACUCUGCACAAAUCCCUUCAUCUGGCUUACUCCUCCAGACCAGUGUUUGCUCCUGAGGUUCCCGAAGGCCCCCUACCCAGCCCACUUCUUUGCGGGCAGGCCAUUCUUUCCAGCAAAGGCCAGUGGGAGCAGCUCCUGCUCCCCUCUCUGCUUCAACACCGUGGGCUGGCCCCUCUGCUGCGUCUGACAAUAUUUAACAGGCGUUUCAUUAUGGAAUGAUCCUAGGAUGUGUGCAUUGUGUGGAUUCCAAUACAAAACCUUUUUGUGUUCAUCAUCUUCAUCCUGUUUGAUUUCCUCUGACCCAAGUAAUCAGUUGAAACGUUAAUUACAAAAAAAAC